rnacentral:rRNA from 1 species
GACGAACGCUUGCGGCGUGCUUAACACAUGCAAGUCGAACGGAAAGGCCCUGCUUUUGUGGGGUGCUCGAGUGGCGAACGGGUGAGUAACACGUGAGUAACCUGCCCUUGACUUUGGGAUAACUUCAGGAAACUGGGGCUAAUACCGGAUAGGAGCUCCUGCUGCAUGGUGGGGGUUGGAAAGUUUCGGCGGUUGGGGAUGGACUCGCGGCUUAUCAGCUUGUUGGUGGGGUAGUGGCUUACCAAGGCUUUGACGGGUAGCCGGCCUGAGAGGGUGACCGGCCACAUUGGGACUGAGAUACGGCCCAGACUCCUACGGGAGGCAGCAGUGGGGAAUAUUGCACAAUGGGCGGAAGCCUGAUGCAGCAACGCCGCGUGCGGGAUGACGGCCUUCGGGUUGUAAACCGCUUUCGCCUGUGACGAAGCGUGAGUGACGGUAAUGGGUAAAGAAGCACCGGCUAACUACGUGCCAGCAGCCGCGGUGAUACGUAGGGUGCGAGCGUUGUCCGGAUUUAUUGGGCGUAAAGGGCUCGUAGGUGGUUGAUCGCGUCGGAAGUGUAAUCUUGGGGCUUAACCCUGAGCGUGCUUUCGAUACGGGUUGACUUGAGGAAGGUAGGGGAGAAUGGAAUUCCUGGUGGAGCGGUGGAAUGCGCAGAUAUCAGGAGGAACACCAGUGGCGAAGGCGGUUCUCUGGGCCUUUCCUGACGCUGAGGAGCGAAAGCGUGGGGAGCGAACAGGCUUAGAUACCCUGGUAGUCCACGCUGUAAACGGUGGGUACUAGGUGUGGGGUCCAUUCCACGGGUUCCGUGCCGUAGCUAACGCUUUAAGUACCCCGCCUGGGGAGUACGGCCGCAAGGCUAAAACUCAAAGGAAUUGACGGGGCCCCGCACAAGCGGCGGAGCAUGCGGAUUAAUUCGAUGCAACGCGUAGAACCUUACCUGGGUUUGACAUGGAUCGGGAGUGCUCAGAGAUGGGUGUGCCUCUUUUGGGGUCGGUUCACAGGUGGUGCAUGCCUGUCGUCAGCUUGUGUCGUGAGAUGUUGGGUUAAGUCCCGCAACGAGCGCAACCCUUGUUCACUGUUGCCAGCACGUUAUGGUGGGGACUCAGUGGAGACCGCCGGGGUCAACUCGGAGGAAGGUGGGGAUGACGUCAAGUCAUCAUGCCCCUUAUGUCCAGGGCUUCACGCAUGCUACAAUGGCUGGUACAGAGAGUGGCGAGCCUGUGAGGGUGAGCGAAUCUCGGAAAGCCGGUCUCAGUUCGGAUUGGGGUCUGCAACUCGACCUCAUGAAGUCGGAGUCGCUAGUAAUCGCAGAUCAGCAACGCUGCGGUGAAUACGUUCCCGGG